UGGGGAAUAUUGCACAAUGGGCGCAAGCCUGAUGCAGCCAUGCCGCGUGUAUGAAGAAGGCCUUCGGGUUGUAAAGUACUUUCAGUCGGGAGGAAGGUGUCAAGGUUAAUAACCUUGGCAAUUGACGUUACCGACAGAAGAAGCACCGGCUAACUCCGUGCCAGCAGCCGCGGUAAUACGGAGGGUGCAAGCGUUAAUCGGAAUUACUGGGCGUAAAGCGCACGCAGGCGGUUGAUUGAGUCAGAUGUGAAAUCCCCGGGCUUAACCCGGGAAUUGCAUCUGAUACUGUCAGCUAGAGUCUUGUAGAGGGGGGUAGAAUUCCAUGUGUAGCGGUGAAAGGCGUAGAGAUGUGGAGGAAUACCGGUGGCGAAGGCGGCCCCCUGGACAAAGACUGACGCUCAGGUGCGAAAGCGUGGGGAGCAAACAGG
rnacentral:rRNA from 1 species